ensembl:lncRNA
GGAAUAUUUUUCCAGGAGAUAAAUAAAGUGAAAAUAUGUAAAAAGAAACAAAAAAACAAGAGGACACAAAUUUAUUUCAAAUUCCAUUGGCUUUAUUUAAUGUAUAUAUAUUUGUAUAUAUUUAUAUAUAUUUAUAUUUAUUAUAUAUAUAUAUACUUAGGUCACAACUUUUACUCAGUUGCUUGAUUAUCAUCUUUUCUUCAGCUUAAGUUCAAACGACAUGACACUAAGACCAAGGCAUUCCACAUCAUAUCUUACAAAAGAGUAAAGAAAACAACAUGACACACGCACACAGACACACACGCACACUCACGCAUACAUCAAUGUACCGGUGUCGUGGUUCUGUUUGCAGAAAGAACUGAAAAAUAAAAAGCGGACAAAGAGACGGAGGACAGAGUGAGAGGACGUGAGGAACCAGAUGAACCACCGGAGCCAAACUGGAGGAUUCUGUUGCAUAGAUUGAAGCAAACGGGAGGAUGUUUGAUCGAAACGCACAACAUGAGAGUGAAACACACACACACACACACACACAUACUUAGGGGGAAGCACAAGUUCUAUUUUGUUUCCCAAACAAACGGGCGUGAGCGACACCUUGCAGCCUGAAGACUUGAAGCUAAAUGCUAACGGUAGUUAUGCUAAUGGGGUGUUUGGCCGGUACAAAGGUCAACGGGUCCAAAGUCUUAGUUCAAACAACACGCAGCACAAACUACUUCAGAAAUAAAAUCAUGGACCUCGGGAGGGCGCUGGAGCAAAAGUCAGAAGGAUUCAUCAUCUGGGGAACACGAAUGUCUCCACAAACGCGACAAUACGUCAGAUUGCUGCAGAUGUUUGAGUGUGAAUUAAAGAAAUAAUUUCACUGGUUUGACAGUAAGUACAUACAGACGGUUGAUUUAAGAGGCUGCGUGGUCCCUGUGAACGUCUCCACGCACUUCAACGAGACGGCGGCCAUUUCUACAAAAAACGUCAAUUUUAACGCGCAUUUAACAUGUUCUGUUGUGCAGAUAUAUCAUUUGAAGAACGCUGCCGUGUUACAAACUGACUUGACUUGUCUGAAUCAAACGCUUUGUUAUCGCGCACUUUUCUUUAAAUACUCGGUUACGACAUUCUAUGAAAAAGAGAUAUGACAGUUUACUUAUUACCAUGGUGAGCAAGCAUGUGAGGAUGUUUAUUUCUUGUUUUUUGUGCUGUUUUAGACGUUGACUUCUCGAGGAGAUAAACAUUUAAUUAUUAAUUAGUUUUAACACCUGAGAGGGGAAACGUGUUUUUAUACUGUAUUUUUAAGCCAAAAUGGAACUUUUUCUGUCAAAUGAGAGGAUUUGUUGCUUUCAUUCUUCACGCAUGAAGAUAGACUGAAUGUUUUAGUUGCUGCUAUGUGCACUACCGGGGCAAGAUGUCCAAUCAGCCAACAUAUUGAUACGUGUACGGAUUGAUCUGUGACUAAGAAAACCAAAUAAACUCUGUUUUCCUAAAACCAGGAAGCAGCAGAGACUCUCUGCAGGAUGAUGGAUCACAGACAUCAAUGGAUGUGAUUGGUUAGAUGGUGACACGUGAUGACCUGAAGGUUUCAGGCCUGAUGUCUCCUCCUCCUCAGGUGAGCGAGUGAUGAGUUCAGGACAAUCAGUAAAUGUCAGAGUUUGUCCGUGCGCGUGUGUGUGUGUGUGUGUGUGUGUGUGUGUGUGUACGGUAGGAUGCAACUGUGAUGGAUGUUAUUCAGUUUCUGAAUAAAUGAGACAAUGAAAACAAAAGAAAAGAAGAAUCUUCCAUUUUUCAUCAAUCCAUCCAUCAGAAGUCACACGGUUUUAAUUUCCUCAGAGUGUUUCACCUCACAGUGUGAGUACAGAAGCGUCUGUGUGUGUCUGUGUGUGUGCAUGUGUGCAAUGUUGCACGUGUUUGGGGGCGAGUAUUUGUGAUUCAUUUGGUAAAAACAGGUCCACAUUUUUGGGAUGUUUCAUUUCAUACUAAAACAUGCAGAACACAGAACAUUGAACACGUAUACUUAACAGUUAGUUUUAUCCAAAUGCAGUUUCUCUUUUUGUUUUUUAUAUAUAUAUGUGUAUAUAUACACACAUAUUUUUAUAUAUAUAUAUAUAUAUAUAUAUAUAUAUAUAUAUAUAUAUAUAUAUAUACACACACACGUUUUCGCACAGAGUGGCUUUAGGCUACACAGAACACGACAGAACCAAUCGCACCAAUCGCAUGUUGGACAUAUUGCUUUAAACCACCAAAUUGUUGUAUAUAUGUCAUGCAUGCCACAUAGAUGAUAUUAUGUUUAUACAAAAAUAACACCAACAGCCUAUUACUGUGUAUCAGAGUAAUUACAGAAAACAAAUCUUUUUUCAGUCUUUUUUGCAGUUAAGUUCAACUGAGAAGCAAUAUACAUAUACACAUCGAUGUAUUUGUAUCCAAUAUACACACGCACGUGUAAUUAUACUAGAUAUAAAUACAUAGACAUGAUAGAUAUAUAUAUGUUGAGUGGUUAUGACUUUUUCAACUGUGAUAUUUCAGUUUGUUUUAAACUUUUUUCCCCUCCUUUUUCUGGGAUUGUUGAAGCGGACGUGACAGUUCUCCAAAGAGUCGCUUAAGAUCCGACAACAGGAAGCUGUUCUGAAGAAAAGAGGCGGCGCGGUCCAAAACAUCUGGAUGAGAGACGAGAGUCCCGCCUGCACAUGGCGGCCCGGUACUGUGAGGGCGACUCACCCGAGGGACAAUCUUAUCCAGGUGGGAGGACAUGGGGUGGGGGGGGAGGGGGGUGUGUGACUGCAAACUUUAUAAAAACAAAAGAACAACACUUUUGCAGAACAUCCUUAACGCUUUGCUGGGUGACGAUUGGCUGAUUGCUGCCCCUCCCAUUACCUGUCAGGCAGCAGCUGUUCAUCAGUUCAACCAAGAACAAAAACCAACGCGUCACCCACUGGAGCCAACGGGCGCACGGCGGGAAGAGGAAGUGAUGUCACGGCGGCGCUCUUUUCCAGGAAGGCUUCCGAAGCCGGCGGCGGUGGAAGGAUGUCAAUGACUCGCGGGCUCCGCCUCCUUUAAAUGUCCCUAUUUCAUGUCUAAAUAAAAGAAAUGUGGCGUCCUUUUGUUCUUUGGGCUGAAAUGAAACCGCCCCGGCCUUGAUAAACUCAAUUAGACCCCGCCCCCUGGACGUUGACAUGAGGACAAAUCCUUUCUACCGUUUAUCGUGAAUUUCUUCUGAAAGUCGUUUUCGUGGACUUCAUCCAACAUACUUUCUUCGCACGGGUCCACCUCAAAGACCCGGAGGGGGAUCAGAGCGACCCAUCGGCUCUGUGUGGUUCCUCAGGCUGUUCUCUCAACAGACCACGCCCCCUUCACGGAGAGGCGGGGCUUGAAGCCGUCAACCCUCAGUCCAUUCAUUCAAACAGAUCAGUCGUAGUCGCUUCAAAGUACAGAAACAAAGAAACCCUGGGCUCGGAUAGAUAAUUAUUCACUCCCAUUUAAUGGUCGAUACGGUUAUCUGCAUUCACGUUGCUUCAUCGGCUGCACUCUAAUGCCGAGCAGCGCGGAAUCACAUAGCGUGUAGUGUGUCACAACAUCUUAGAUAAAGUGAAUGAAAAGGGGGCUGAUGAGACUAGACGGUUGGGAUUCCAAUUGAGCGGCCGACAGGAAGUAAACAAGUCACUGCAGGUUUCUGAGCCCUAACGUCGGGUGACCAAGACAACACACGUGGCAUAAAUAUUAGAGAGCUGUAAAAAGAGAGUUAGUCCACGUUAGAUUCAUCUCAUUCAUGUACUGUACUGUCACCAAACUCUUCAGCCUAUACAUAUAUAUAUAUUCAUAUAUCUCCAAAAUAUUAAAAAGUACUUAAUAUAAAAAUACAGAAGAGUUGUAAAAAAUGAGCAAAACAUUGAGUUUUAUAUGAAAACCAUGCAAGAAAGAUUCCCCAUUCCUGUAGUAACUCUAAGACUCUGGAAAGCUAGGGAAUGAAAUGGGGGGGGGGGGGGGUCGAUUGAGAGAAGAGCUGGCGACUGCCACCAUCUUGCUUUUUCAUGUAAACAUUGUAGAGGUCCUUUAAACUCGGUUGCGGAGGGGCGCCUUGGGCUUUCCU